GGACACGCGCCUGGCUCCGCCCCCGGCCCCGCCGGCCGCGCGCCCCCACCCCGGCUGAGACCGGCCCCGCGAGGCGCGCAGGGUCCUCACUUGUGGAAAGAAACGGGCUUGUCCUUGUCGUAGCGGUUCUUGCAGCCGUAGGCGGAGCAGGACUGCACCAUCCUUCCGGUCCUCAGGCACUUCACUUCUGCCGCCGCAGAAGGCAGGGGAAGCUGUUCUCAGUGUCGCUGCGCUCGGUUGGAUUCCCUCGCUUCUUUUGUAGCUUUGGCCAACAGUUACAGUGAUGGUGGCCUCCCUCGGGGGUGACUAGUGUGCCCGUUUUGUUGUUUGCAUUAGCAGAAGGACCACAGCCAUCGCCCGUCUCCCAUCUCCAAGAUGGCGGAGGCAGCUUCAACCUCACCUCUCGCGAGGGGUGCGUCCCACUGUCUCUGAUUAGCCCCGAGGUCAGAGGUAUCACAAGUUUCUGUGAGAGCCAACGUGACAGAUUUUUAGCAAUGAAAAAAGACACACUCGCCAAAUCAUCUCAAUUGCCAACGCAGAAGCGUUUUAUAUAUAUGUAUGUAUAUGUAUGUAUAUAUGUGUGUAUGUAUAUAUGUGUGUGUGUAUGUAUAUAUAUAUAUAUAUAUGUAAUUUUUUAAAUAAAUAGAGGCGUUGUCUCCCCACGUUGCCCAGGUCAGUCUGGAACUCGAGCUCAAGGGAUCCUCCCAUCUCGACCUCCCCAUGGGUUGGGAUUACAGGAGUUGAGCCACCAGGCUGUCCCUCCCCAGAAGCUUUUCUGAAGGCUCUCCAUUGCUGUGAUUUCCAUGUGCUGUGUUGCAAAUAGCGAACUGCUGCAGCAAUUUUCACACCUGAGAGAGAAUAUGUUAGAGGGGUUCGAACUAGAGCGACUCUGUGUUGAGUGAGGGCUAGGAAAAUGAGGCUGGGACUUGCUGGGCUGCAUUCCCGGGAAGUUAGGUAUUCCUAGCCUCUAGAUGUGUAUACCAUUAAGGCAACAGAUUGAUAAUGUUUACUACACAGACCCAGACUACCAAGUGUCCAGAUAUCCCGAUAUUUUGAGAACAGAAGCAUUCCUAAUUUUGCUUUAAAGAUAAUAAUAUUGGGCUGGGCACAGUGCCUCACGCCUGUAAUCCCAGCACUUUGGAAGGCCGAGGCGGGCGGAUCACUUGAGGUCAGGAGUUCAAGACUAGCCUGGUCAACAUGGUGAAAACGUCUCUACUAAAAAUACAAAAAUUAACCGGGUGUGGUGGCACAUGCCCUCGAAUUUCAGCUACUCUGGAGGCUGAGGCAGGAUAAUCGCUUGAAUCCGGGAGGCGGGGGUUGCAGUGAGCCGUGCUUGCACCACUGCACUCCAGCCUGGGCGACAGAGUAAGACUCUGUCUCAUAAAUAAAGAUAAUAUCGAUUCUUACAUAAUAUAGUAAUUAAUCCUUUAUCACAAACCCUUGUAGCAAAGCACAUCUCCCCAUGAUCUUUUUUUAUCCUAUAUAUAAACUAAGUGUUGUACUUAGGGUGGACGCGUUCCUCCUCUUACUUUCGGGAAUGCCCUACUCUGUCUGUGGAGUAGCUGUACUUUCACCACUUUACGUUCUUAAUAAACUUGCUUUUGCUUUGUACUGUGGACUUGCCCUGAAUUCUGUCUUGCGUGAGAUCCAAGAACCCUGUCUUGGGGUCUGGAUUGGGACCCCUUUCCUGUAACAGUUUUACUUCAUUCCCUGCUCCUUUUCUUUAUAUAGAUCUGAGCCAGGCAGACCUGGAGAGCGGACUGUUGAGUAAUCCCUUGGCCCUUAUUCUCUACCUUUCCUGCCCUUUUAAAUGUUGCUGUUUCCCCAGGGUUCCAUCUUCUGCCCUCCUCUAACUCCUAAACACCCUGCUCCUUAAACUGAACCAAAUACCAUAAUUCUCUCAUCUUUUAUUUCCUUUGUAUAUCCGUUCUGCCUUUGGGAUUAUCAUCUGUGAAUUAUCAUCUGUGAAUUAUCUGUUCAACAGUUGUCUAAACCAGAAACCUUGGAGUCAUCUUGGAUUUUUUUUGUCACCCAUAAAACCCGUUGAUGACCAGGUUAAUUUUGUAGACUAAAUAAAUAAAUGCCCCUUAAAUCCA